UUCCACACUCCUUCCAUUUUAUAAAUUCAUCUUUCCACCACUUAUGGACUGAACACUCCGUUUCAGUUUUGAGAUGUUUCAUUUUUAUUUUGAGUGGAUUGUGGAAGGCAUGUGGAUUCCACGUACUAUCUAUAAUUUUUAUGUAAGAUUAAUUACUCAAACUUCACUUGUGGAGUGCACACUCCUUUCUAUAAUUAUAACAACAAAGGAUGAACUUCACAUAAAAGAUUAUGUACACAAACUUAUUUUAAUUGCAGUAAACUAUCAAGAAAAAGGACGUGCAUGCACUGGUAAGCUUGUCAUCAUAUGGCUGCUAAUACUAAACAAACGCAUUCUAUAUGUUCUAUCUGAGGGGCUCUAUCAUCAACCAAUAAGUCAUCUCUGGUUCUUUUUUCAGUAUCUAUCAUUCUUUUAAACAUAAGAUUAUCGUUCCUGCUUUCACCAUCAUGGCUGUGCGAAAUGAUUUAUGCAUUCCAGGUCUUGAGGACAAAUCUGAACAGGAAAACCGGGUGUCUGUAGAGGAAGAAUUUGAUUACUCAGAAAGAAGAAAGUGGCUGCGUUCUGUUAAACAAGAUGCCAAAGCCAUGGUUCCUACAGGCUUUUCGGGCUUGGUUGCUGGUGUAUGUAGUAUGGCAAUUGGUGAGUUAGUUUCAGUGUACACCCAAAGAUCCUUAGAGGUGGCUCUGGUGAAAAGAGAGACCACAAUUGUGGAAAAAGAGAAAAGUACCCAUCUUUAUAGAUCAAGUUAUUAUAUGUUUUACUUGCUUUAGUAUAGUUGGUUGAGAGGCUGUUCAAAGCCCUUAUACUUGUGUUGGUACAAAUAUGAUUAUUGGUCCUGUUUACAUUCCUAA